UACGUAGGUGGCAAGCGUUGUCCGGAUUUACUGGGCGUAAAGAGCGCGCAGGCGGUCGUGCAAGUCGCGUGUGAAAGCCUCCGGCUCAACUGGGGAGGGUCACGCGAUACUGAUCGACUGGAAGGCAGGAGAGGGUAGUGGAAUUCCUGGUGUAGAGGUGAAAUUCGUAGAUAUCAGGAGGAACACCGGUGGCGAAGGCGGCUUCCUGGACACUUACUGACGCUGAGACGCGAAAGCGUGUGGAGCAAACAGG
rnacentral:rRNA from 1 species